UACGUGGUAUAACAGAGCAUGGUUAAUGAGUACGUGGUAUAGCAGAGCAUGGUUUACGAGUAUGUGGUAUAGCUGAGCAGGGUUUACGAGUACGUGGUAUAGCAGAGCAGGGUUUAUGAGUACGUGGUAUAGCAGAGCAUGGUUUAUGAGUACGUGGUAUAGCAGAGCAGGGUUUACGAAUACGUGGUAUAACAGAGCAUGGUUAAUGAGUACGUGGUAUAGCAGAGCAUGGUUUACGAGUAUGUGGUAUAGCUGAGCAUGGUUUACGAGUAUGUGGUAUAGCAGAGCAU